GGAGGAUCCGAGCGUUAUCCGGAUUUAUUGGGUUUAAAGGGAGCGUAGGUGGACUGGUAAGUCAGUUGUGAAAGUUUGCGGCUCAACCGUAAAAUUGCAGUUGAUACUGUCAGUCUUGAGUACAGUAGAGGUGGGCGGAAUUCGUGGUGUAGCGGUGAAAUGCUUAGAUAUCACGAAGAACUCCGAUUGCGAAGGCAGGUCUCUGGGCCGUUACUGACGCUGAGGAGCGAAAGCGUGGGGAGCGAACAGGAUUAGAUACCCUGGUAGUCCACGCCGUAAACGGUGGAUGCUGGAUGUGGGGCCCUUUCCACGGGUUCCGUGUCGGAGCUAACGCGUUAAGCAUCCCGCCUGGGGAGUACGGCCGCAAGGCUA
rnacentral:rRNA from 1 species